GAUGAAGAACGCAGCGAAAUGCGAUAACUAAUGUGAAUUGCAGAAUUCAGUGAAUCAUCGAGUCUUUGAACGCACAUUGCGCCCCCUGGUAUUCCGGGGGGCAUGCCUGUCCGAGCGUCAUUGCUGCCCUCAAGCACGGCUUGUGUGUUGGGCUCCGUCCCCCCGGGGACGGGCCCGAAAGGCAGCGGCGGCACCGAGUCCGGUCCUCGAGCGUAUGGGGCUUUGUCACCCGCUCUGUAGGCCCGGCCGGCGCCAGCCGACAACCCAUCAUCCUUUUCAGGUUGACCUCGGAUCAGGUAGGGAUACCCGCUGAACUUAAGCAUAUCAAUAAGCUGAGGA
rnacentral:misc_RNA from 1 species